rnacentral:rRNA from 1 species
UACAGAGGGGGCAAGCGUUAUUCGGAAUUAUUGGGCGUAAAGGGCGUGUAGGCGGUUUGCUAAGUCAUGUGUGAAAUCCCUCGGCUCAACCGGGGGAACGACGCAUGAAACUGGCAAGCUAGAGUACCAAAGAGGGGGGUGGAAUUCCCGGUGUAGCGGUGAAAUGCGUAGAUAUCUGGAGGAACACCGGUGGCGAAGGCGGCAUCCUGGACCGACACUGACGCUGAUGAGCGAAAGCCAGGGGAGCAAACGGGG